GACGUAGGGGGCAAGCGUUAUUCGGAAUUACUGGGCGUAAAGCGUGCGUAGACGGUAGCGUAAGUCGGGUGUGAAAGCCCCGGGCUCAACCUGGGAAUUGCAUUCGAGACUGCUCUGCUAGGGUGCGGAAGAGGGAAGCGGAAUUUCCGGUGUAGCGGUGAAAUGCGUAGAUAUCGGAAGGAACACCAGUGGCGAAAGCGGCUUCCUGGUCCAGCACCGACGUUCAGGCACGAAAGCGUGGGGAGCAAACAGG
rnacentral:rRNA from 1 species